CUCUGCGUAACGGCUGCAGAGUACUUUCUACUUUCUGUCGUCUCGCCACCAGUCACUCGAUCGGUACGGCUUCUUUUCGCACACUAAAGAAAUGCUGGUUCAAGUGGAGUAUCAGACAGUCCAGAAAUGGGUUCGGGUUCCAGUGACAGAUUACUGCUACGAUUACUUUAAAUUCAUGCACGAGGUUCAUGCUAAAUUCAGUUUGGCAAGUGAAAUCUGUGUAGACCUGAAGGACUCUUCUGGAGUUGAUGUGGAUGCUGAUAUUUUUUGAUGAACUCCUGAGGUCUGCUACAGUAUCUUUCAAAGUAGUCACUAAGCACUUUGGUGAGAUUUAAAAACAUUAAAACAAUUGUUCCUCUUAAUGCAUUUUAAAAAUACAUAAAUCAAAAGUUCAUU